UUCAUUUUUCAUCACCCAUACAGUUAGUCUAUUAUUGUCCAGCCAACUAAAAGUGUCUUCUAGAAUAAGGUGAAAGAACAGAGAGGGCAAGGAAGAACUGAGAGCAUAUGGAGGAAGGAGGUCCCAGCAGUGAUGCAAUAGAAGGAGCAUAGGAAGACAGAAGUCAGCAAAUGACCAUCCAGUGCAGCAAGCAGCGUGCUCAGUAUCAACAGAGCCUUUCGCAGGGUGGACAUGGAGGAACCACUGGUUUGCACUGUCACCUAUUCUGCCAUCCCAGAUGACCACUUAGCACCUGAGCAGCUGGAUUCACCUUUCUCCCACUCCCUUAUUCAUUGAGCCCUGGGGGGGUUGUCUUCCAGGGAUUGCAUCAGGAGGCCACCUGACCUCUGACUUCCUGUUGGCUUCAGCUAAGAAGGAAGGAGGAACACUGAGAGGGGACAGGAGGAGGCAGGAGCAUGCUGUCAGGGUAUUGUGUUUUUCCAGUGCCUUCUCUGUGGGCUGCUGAGGGCCUGAAGCCCCUCCUCACAGCUCUCUCCCUCUCCAAAUCCUUAUGUGACCAGCCCCACCCCCUCACUCCCCCAGGCUCCCCGAGGUUGCCAGCCCCAAAGUAUUCACUGCUUUUUUGGCUCCCCCACACCUGUCCUUGCCUGUGUAAAUGUUCCCUUCAUUAAAUUCUCCUGAAAUGUC
rnacentral:lncRNA from 1 species